UACUGGAGAGUUAGGAGGAGUGUCUUCAUCUUCUCUGUUUGUUGAGUUCAACAGUUUGAAGGUCUCCAGCGUCUGUUCAUGCUUCAGGAGAGUGGAGUUGAUGGCCUGGAGGUGUAAGAAAUGAGACAUCAGAUCACCUAACAACCAACCCAUUUCCAUCUUUACCUCACCAUACUGUGACCUAGACUGGAGGCAGAAAGGCCUCUGCCCUGGUGCAGCCCCAUCAACUACUCACUAGGAAGAGGACCUGCCUUUUUGGCUGACUUCCACCUGGCUUCUUAAUUUCCUUCCACAUCCAUACUCCAGACAUCAAAAGUACUUUUCUAUUAUGAAAGUCUGACUACAUCCUUAGAAAAAUUAAGGAUGUGAGUUAAUAUUUAGCUACAAGAAUGUUCACUGAAAUGCUGUUUACUGUAGUGAAAAAUUAGAAGCAGCCUACGUGUCCAAAAACAGGCGAUCAGCUAAGAAAAAGAUGAUGGUACAUCACUAUUGCCAGACAAUAUAAAUGAUGUAGAAAGCUGUUUAUAAUGCUAAGCAAAAACAACAUAUAAAAAGUACUCAUAGCAUUACAUUUUUGUUUAAAAAUAUAUGUGACAUGAGUGUUUACAUUUGUCAAAACUCAUUGAUGGUACACAUAAACCUGUGUAUUUCACUGUAUGAAAAUUUUUUCUCAAGGAAAGGAAUGGACCUUAACAAAUAGUGAACUCUAAUGAUAUGCACUCCAAAGUAUUUAGGGGUAAGGUGUAGUGAUGUCUGCAAUGUACUUUGAAAUGCAUUAAAAAAAAUCAGAUGGAUUGGUGGAUGGAUAAAAGGAUAGAUUUGUGAUAAAGUAAAUACAGCACAAUGUUAAUACUUGAGAAUCUAUAUGGUGGGUUUAAGGGUGUUCACUGUACAAUUCUUUAAACUUUUCUGUAUUUUAGAAAAUUUUCAUAAUAAAGUAUGGAGAGAAAACA